UACGUAGGGUGCAAGCGUUGUCCGGAAUUAUUGGGCGUAAAGAGCUCGUAGGCGGUUUGUCGCGUCUGCUGUGAAAACUCGGGGCUUAACUCCGGGCCUGCAGUGGGUACGGGCAGACUAGAGUGCGGUAGGGGAGACUGGAAUUCCUGGUGUAGCGGUGAAAUGCGCAGAUAUCAGGAGGAACACCAGCGGCGAAGGCGGCGCUCUGGACCGGUACUGACGCUGAUGCGCGAAAGCGUGGGGGAGCGAACAGG
rnacentral:rRNA from 1 species